rnacentral:rRNA from 1 species
GUGGAUGAGGCAUGCAAGUCGAACGGAAUAGGGGGCGACUCCUAUUCAGUGGCGGAAGGGUUAGUAAGGCAUGGGUAACCUGCCCUUAACUUUGGGAUAACGGUUGGAAACGAUCGCUAAUACCAAAUGUGGUGAUAGAAGGCAUCUUCAUAUCAUUAAAGUGGGGGACUGUAAAAGGCCUUGCGGUUAGGGAAGGGCCCAUGUGAUAUCAGCUAGUUGGUGAGGUAACGGCUCACCAAGGCUAAGACGUCUAGGCGGAUUGAGAGAUUG